rnacentral:rRNA from 1 species
CGCGCGAUACAGGGUGACAGCCCCGUACACAAAAAUGCACAUACUGUGAGCUCGAUGAGUAGGGCGGGACACGUGGUAUCCUGUCUGAAUAUGGGGGGACCAUCCUCCAAGGCUAAAUACUCCUGACUGACCGAUAGUGAACCAGUACCGUGAGGGAAAGGCGAAAAGAACCCCGGCGAGGGGAGUGAAAAAGAACCUGAAACCGUGUACGUACAAGCAGUGGGAGCACGCUUAGGCGUGUGACUGCGUACCUUUUGUAUAAUGGGUCAGCGACUUAUAUUCUGUAGCAAGGUUAACCGAAUAGGGGAGCCGAAGGGAAACCGAGUCUUAACUGGGCGUUAAGUUGCAGGGUAUAGACCCGAAACCCGGUGAUCUAGCCAUGGGCAGGUUGAAGGUUGGGUAACACUAACUGGAGGACCGAACCGACUAAUGUUGAAAAAUUAGCGGAUGACUUGUGGCUGGGGGUGAAAGGCCAAUCAAACCGGGAGAUAGCUGGUUCUCCCCGAAAGCUAUUUAGGUAGCGCCUCGUGAAUUCAUCUCCGGGGGUAGAGCACUGUUUCGGCAAGGGGGUCAUCCCGACUUACCAACCCGAUGCAAACUGCGAAUACCGGAGAAUGUUAUCACGGGAGACACACGGCGGGUGCUAACGUCCGUCGUGAAGAGGGAAACAACCCAGACCGCCAGCUAAGGUCCCAAAGUCAUGGUUAAGUGGGAAACGAUGUGGGAAGGCCCAGACAGCCAGGAUGUUGGCUUAGAAGCAGCCAUCAUUUAAAGAAAGCGUAAUAGCUCACUGGUCGAGUCGGCCUGCGCGGAAGAUGUAACGGGGCUAAACCAUGCACCGAAGCUGCGGCAGCGACGCUGAUGCGUUGUUGGGUAGGGGAGCGUUCUGUAAGCCUGUGAAGGUGUGCUGUGAGGCAUGCUGGAGGUAUCAGAAGUGCGAAUGCUGACAUAAGUAACGAUAAAGCGGGUGAAAAGCCCGCUCGCCGGAAGACCAAGGGUUCCUGUCCAACGUUAAUCGGGGCAGGGUGAGUCGACCCCUAAGGCGAGGCCGAAAGGCGUAGUCGAUGGGAAACAGGUUAAUAUUCCUGUACUUGGUGUUACUGCGAAGGGGGGACGGAGAAGGCUAUGUUGGCCGGGCGACGGUUGUCCCGGUUUAAGCGUGUAGGCUGGUUUUCCAGGCAAAUCCGGAAAAUCAAGGCUGAGGCGUGAUGACGAGGCACUACGGUGCUGAAGCAACAAAUGCCCUGCUUCCAGGAAAAGCCUCUAAGCAUCAGGUAACAUCAAAUCGUACCCCAAACCGACACAGGUGGUCAGGUAGAGAAUACCAAGGCGCUUGAGAGAACUCGGGUGAAGGAACUAGGCAAAAUGGUGCCGUAACUUCGGGAGAAGGCACGCUGAUAUGUAGGUGAAGCGACUUGCUCGUGGAGCUGAAAUCAGUCGAAGAUACCAGCUGGCUGCAACUGUUUAUUAAAAACACAGCACUGUGCAAACACGAAAGUGGACGUAUACGGUGUGACGCCUGCCCGGUGCCGGAAGGUUAAUUGAUGGGGUCAGCGCAAGCGAAGCUCUUGAUCGAAGCCCCGGUAAACGGCGGCCGUAACUAUAACGGUCCUAAGGUAGCGAAAUUCCUUGUCGGGUAAGUUCCGACCUGCACGAAUGGCGUAAUGAUGGCCAGGCUGUCUCCACCCGAGACUCAGUGAAAUUGAACUCGCUGUGAAGAUGCAGUGUACCCGCGGCAAGACGGAAAGACCCCGUGAACCUUUACUAUAGCUUGACACUGAACAUUGAGCCUUGAUGUGUAGGAUAGGUGGGAGGCUUUGAAGUGUGGACGCCAGUCUGCAUGGAGCCGGCCUUGAAAUACCACCCUUUAAUGUUUGAUGUUCUAACGUUGACCCGUGAUCCGGGUUGCGGACAGUGUCUGGUGGGUAGUUUGACUGGG